GAACGCACCUUGCGCCCUUUGGCUAUUCUGAAGGACAUGCCUGUUUGAGUAUCAUGAACACCUCAACUCUCAUGGUCCGCCAUGAUGAGCUUGGACUUUGGGGGUCUUGCCGGCCUAGCGUCGGCUCCUCUCAAAUGGAUCAGCUCGCCAGUGUUUGGUGGCAUCACGGGUGUGAUAACUAUCUACGCUUGUGGUUUUCCGCCAUGUAACCUUCGGCACGGAGGUUCGCUGGGGCUCACAGAUGUCUCUCCUUGGAGGACAGCUUUUUGAACGUUUGAUCUCAAAUCAGGUAGGACUACCCGCUGAACUUAAG
rnacentral:misc_RNA from 1 species